rnacentral:rRNA from 1 species
GGGGAAUAUUGCACAAUGGGGGAAACCCUGAUGCAGCAACGCCGCGUGGAGGAUGACGCAUUUCGGUGUGUAAACUCCUUUUAUAAGGGAAGAUAAUGACGGUACCUUAUGAAUAAGCACCGGCUAACUCCGUGCCAGCAGCCGCGGUAAUACGGAGGGUGCAAGCGUUACUCGGAAUCACUGGGCGUAAAGGAUGCGUAGGCUGGAGACCAAGUCGAGAGUGAAAUCCAACGGCUCAACCGUUGAACUGCUCUCGAAACUGACCACCUAGAAUAUGGGAGAGGUAGAUGGAAUUGGUGGUGUAGGGGUAAAAUCCGUAGAUAUCACCAGGAAUACCGAUUGCGAAGGCGAUCUACUGGAACAUUAUUGACGCUGAGGCAUGAAAGCGUGGGGAGCAAAC